rnacentral:rRNA from 1 species
CUCGUAGGCGGCUUCCUAAGUCAGUGGUGAAAACCUGUGGCUCAACCACAGGCCUGCCCCUGAAACUGGGAAGCUUGAGGCUGUGAGGGGAGAGGGGAAUUCCUGGUGUAUCGGUGAAAUGAGUUGAUAUCAGGAGGAACACCCGUGGCGAAGGCGCCUCUCUGGCACAGUACUGACGCUGAGGAGCGAAAGCGGUGGGGAGCAAACA